UACGUAGGUGGCAAGCGUUGUCCGGAUUUACUGGGCGUAAAGGGCGCGUAGGCGGCUUUCUAAGUCAAAGGUGAAAUCCCUCGGCUCAACUGAGGAACUGCCUUUGAAACUGGACGGCUUGAGGCCGGGAGAGGGUAGCGGAAUUCCCAGUGUAGCGGUGAAAUGCGUAGAUACUGGGAGGAACACCGGUGGCGAAGGCGGCUACCUGGACCGGUUCUGACGCUGAGGCGCGAAAGCGUGGGUAGCGAACAGG
rnacentral:rRNA from 1 species